AAGCUCGUAGUUGAAUUUCGGGAUCAAAUUGUCGGUCGUGCCUCGGUACGUACUGGCGUUAUUGGUUCCUCCCUUCCGAAGAACCACGAUGUCAUUAAUUUGGUGUCGCGGGGAAUCAGGACUGUUACUUUGAAAAAAUUAGAGUGUUUAAAGCAGGCUCGCGCUUGAAUACAUUAGCAUGGAAUAAUGAAAUAGGACGUUUGAUUCUAUUUUGUUGGUUUCUAGGAUCGACGUAAUGAUUAAUAGGGAUAGUUGGGGGCAUUAGUAUUCAAUUGUCAGAGGUGAAAUUCUUGGAUUUAUUGAAGACUAACUACUGCGAAAGCAUUUGCCAAGGAUGUUUUCAUUAAUCAAGAACGAAAGUUAGGGGAUCGAAGACGAUCAGAUACCGUCGUAGUCUUAACCAUAAACUAUGCCGACUAGGGAUCGGAUGAUGUUAAUUUUUUAAUGACUCAUUCGGCGCCUUACGGGAAACCAAAGUGUUUGGGUUCCGGGGGGAGUAUGGUCGCAAGGCUGAAACUUAAAGGAAUUGACGGAAGGGCACCACCAGGGGUGGAGCCUGCGGCUUAAUUUGACUCAACACGGGGAAACUUACCAGGUCCAGACAUAGUAAGGAUUGACAGAUUGAGAGCUCUUUCUUGAUUCUAUGGGUG
rnacentral:rRNA from 1 species